UACGUAGGUGGCAAGCGUUGUCCGGAAUUAUUGGGCGUAAAGCGCGCGCAGGUGGUUUCUUAAGUCUGAUGUGAAAGCCCACGGCUCAACCGUGGAGGGUCAUUGGAAACUGGGGAACUUGAGUGCAGAAGAGGAAAGUGGAAUUCCAAGUGUAGCGGUGAAAUGCGUAGAGAUUUGGAGAACACCAGUGGCGAAGGCGACUUUCUGGUCUGUAACUGACACUGAGGCGCGAAAGCGUGGGAGCGAACGAGG
rnacentral:rRNA from 1 species